GCCGGGGGCGCGCGGCGGGUGCCGGCGGCGGGCUCUGCGGCAGCACCGGCCGAGCUCGCGACCCUGAGCCCGGGACAGACAGUCAGAGCUCCACUCCCGUCCUAAAAACAGGCCGUUUUCUUUUGCAGCAAAGACUGAAGGACGCAACGUAUUUGAAUCCAGCGUUUCGUCUGGCACAAAGUCUGCCUCUGCAUCCUCCACAGUGUCUAGAUGUGGCAAAAUUCAACAUAUAAGGCCGGUAAGGAGUGUUUCAGACACCACCGUCCGACUAGUGUCCUGAGCUUCUGGCUGGUUUGCAUGUUUGACCUGUUUUGUGAGCUACAGGCUUCAUUCGGAUAAUACAUUCAUAUGACUGGAAAUCAAAAGAUAAAAGAUACAUAGAUGCCCCGGUCCCUCAUCCACCCCAUCCACACCUCUACUCUGCUACAUACAGGUAACCAUUUAGGUUGCUUUCUCGUAUAUCCUUUUAAUGAAGCUAUAACUAGAGAUUCUGAUUUCUCCCCUUUUUAGUCAAAAGGUGGAAUACUAUAAAAACUAUUUUUCGUUUUCCUAUUUCACUUUACAAUACAUCCUGCAAAUUAUGUCGUACUCCAUAGUGUCGAUGUGUCUGUUUACUUAACCAGCUCCCUGAUGAUGAACACUUGGUGGUUUCCGAUCUUUUGCUGCAGUGAAUCCUCUCAUAUGUGUAAUUUUGCUAAUGUGUUGGUCUAUCUGUGGGAUAAAAUCCCACAAGUGCAAGGACUGUCAUUUUGAUACCUAUUGCCACACUGCCCCCUGGAGGAAACAUACAGUUCUACACUCCCACUAACAAUGAAUGAGAGGCCCCGUUUCUCCAGUCUCACCACCUUGAUUUUUCAAAAAUUAAAAAGGAAUUUAAUUUAUAAAAGCAGUUGGUUUGUUAGACAAAUACUAGAAAACACUGGGUUAAUUGUGAGGAGGAGAGGGGAGAUAAUGAUGCAGUCCUUAAGUAAAAAAGGGCUGGAAUGUCUGGUACAGAAGAAUGGUGACUUGAGUAUGUCAU